GCUGGUUUGGCUCAGUGGAUAGAGCCUCGGCCUCCAGACCGAAGGUCCCAGGUUCAAUUCCGGGUAAGGGCA
rnacentral:tRNA from 1 species